CUGCGAUUUCUGCGACUUACCACCGUAUGAAAAAGUUACAUCUGCCCACACAGAAAAUUGCCUCUCAGCAAACCUGUCAUUGGUACCCGAACUACAUUUCAGUCACUCAGUAAAUUGAUAACUCAACAGAUCUGGAGAAAUUACCACUGCGUCUUUAGACCGUUUUCGUCAGCCGAGAGACACAGUUCUGACUCUUGAUUACUGGUUGCUGUACAUAUCUAUCCACAUCAAGGCUGUUGAGAGAGACUCGUGAAGAUUCAAGACAGCUCUUAGAGGAUUUGCAGUUAAAAAGUGACAUAAUUGUGAAAUAAGUGUGCAGAUGAGUGAUUAAACUGUGUUUUAUUGAAGUUGUUAUGCGAUUUUAAAGGAUUAAUAAAUGUUAAAUACAGUGAGUGAA